CUACAACUGGAAACACAACAAAAGAGCUGGAAAUCAUGGAUGAUUCAACAAAAUUACAAGGCUCAUGCUGGUACAGGCUCAUCAUAGUGCCUCUGGGUUUAGCAGCACUUAUAGCAGCUGUUGUGGUCAUCAAUAUCUGGACAAGAGCUGGUGUGUAAAGAUGGUGAACAAUGAAAAAGUCCAGUCUACUGAAGUAGCUUGACCAACCCUCCAGCUUCUAUCAGAUCUCACUGAUCAGCACAUCAACAAGCUUUAUAUUUGCACGAGGAGCAGAAGCUUUUAAAAAGAGAAUCGUUGUUUUUGCCUUAGUCACAGUUUGGACAACAAUUUGAAAUCUUGAUAUGAUCUUUUUAGAACCACAGUGACUUUUCUAAAAUACCUGCCUGCAUCAGCGGUAAAAAGCUCUUUCUCCUUGUACUGUGUUUUUUGGAGGUGUACAUUGUUUUUCAUCAGUUUUCAGCAGGCAGGGGUAGCUUUUGGUGGUUUUCUGGACCACAAAAACAGAGGACUUCAGUACACACAGAGAUAAUGAGGGGGUGUGGAACAGGUGGGAACACAGCUGGGACAAAUCAGACCUAACGAGACAAGGAACACUGCACAUAGGACAGGGACUUUCACAGUAAAACAAGAAACAGAGUGGAAUCCAGACAUGGCAACACAAGCUUGACAAUAUGAACAAGAAGACAAGAAACAUGACAGACUAACACAGAUGACUUAAGUAAAACAUAACUAAACUAAACUUAAGGCAACCAAAUGAUAAUCCUAUUACAUAACAUAUUUAAAGGAAUAACUUAAAGACUCAAAGCACUGCCCAAAAGCUUAUCUCCAUCUAUACAAGGACAAGUGACCUCUGAGGAAGUUAGAGGAAGCAUGAAUAAAAACAUAUCUGUGAUAUCUGAAACAACUCAUUUGGACUGUCUGCAGUGUUUAUGUGGCAGCUUUGUGUAUCCUAUCUCAUGUCAAGGCUUUCAUUGGGGAGUGUGAACAUUUCAUUCUGUGGAUUGCAUUGCUCUACUGAAAAUAAAUCUCUUGUAAACUGGUUCAUUCAUUAUAGAAGGUGAUAAUUUAUACUUUGCAUGUCCCACUUGUAGUAAACUUUUCCCCUAAAAAGCAUGAUUGGAUACUGAAAUGUUUAAACAUAAAGAAUCAUUCAUCUUCUGCAGCUUUAAAAUAUCUAAAAUACACUCUGUGGUUUUUUGACCUGUGUCUGGUCGUCAUUAGUGUCAUGGUCCUGGGCCAUGUUGGCCCAGUAUUCUUAGUUUUUGUGUGUUUUGUAUUUUGUUCCCUAUUUAUGCCUUGGUUCCUAGGUUAUUUAGUUAAGAUGUUCCUUAUUUGGUUACCUCCUGUGUGUAUC